rnacentral:rRNA from 1 species
UGAGUUUAAAAAACCUUAAUAAUUAGUAGUUAAGUUCUUGAAAAUUAAUAAAGAUGGCGGUAUUUUAGUCUGUUCAGAGGAACCUGUCCUGUAAUUGAUAUUCCACGAUUUAUUUUACUUGAGUUUUAAAUUUACAUAUCGCUGUGAAUUGAAUAUUUCUUUUGAAUGUAAAAUGUUCAUAAUUUUGAAUAAAAGGAUAUCAAGUCAAGAUGUAGUUUAUAUUUAAGAAGAGGUGGGUUACAAUAAUUUUAUUUGUGGUUGGUUUGUUGAAAAAUUUUCUAUAAAAUGGAUUUGAAGGUAAUUUUUUACAAAAAUUUGAAAAAUGAUUUUAGCUCUAAAAUA